CACAACUCAGCAAGGCGGCCAGCUCGUCCUCUCCUCCUGCUGCUCGUGAGCAUUCAGACCCAGGCAAGUUAUAUUCCCAUGAAGAAGAAAAGGGCUAAUUAAACUGGAGACCUUCUGAAGCACAGUUUCCAGCUCUGCAGGGUCUCCUGAAGAAGAGGAUCUGGGAGCCUAUUUUCGUGACGGUUUUCUUCCCAGGGAACCAUAUGCCACCAGACAGGCAGGCAGCAUGAGUGGAUUGCAGAUUCAGUGCUGGAGUGUUGGUGAACAGGGCGGGAUGUUAGUCCUCAUUGGAAGGCAGCUUGCUGCUGUGGCUCCUCCUCUUCUUGCCCAGAUACCCACGUAGGACAGAUGCUGCCCUCGUCUCCACCGCAGGCUCAUGGAUUCGGCUCUGAAUCUUCUCAACAUGAGUGCAAAUCACGGCUGUGGGGCCAGAUGUGAGAGGUGGAGGAAGAACGUUGGUUUCAAUGGCUUUGACUAUCUUCCCAUUUUCUUGACAUAGAGUCCACAGAUCCUCUUGGUGCCCAAAUCAAAACAUCUUCACUGUGAAACCUCACUUCCCAGCUGCAGGUGGAUAUACCAUCAUCACUCACAGCCAGCCAGCCUGUGGAGAGAAUAUGGUGGCACACUGUCACUUGGCACAUGUCUAGGUCCUGACCGUGAUUGGUGGUCCCAUUUCUUGACACAAGAACUCUCUUCAAAGAAUCUGAUCUUGCAUAUAUCACCACCCAUGGACUCUGAAAAUGUCUGUGAGUUGCUUUGCCUGAACUCACAGACCGAAUGCAAAGGUCACUAGGUAUGGGGACGUCUGUGACUUGCAAGUGAAAAGCGAGUUCAUGAAAGGUCUCAGUCCUGGCCACUGGUCACUUACCUGGGGAAGCUCUCUAAAUAUGGUAGUGUCAGGUUCUUGUGCUAAAUCAUUCACAUCAGAAUUUCUGCCGGGGUCCACACAUCCUUAAGCUCCCCUGGUUUGGUGGCCAUACCUUAGGGCAACUCAAGUAACUUCCCAUAGAAACCCCUUCCUUUGAGUGUGUGGAAACUUCAUCCUGCCUCUAACCACCAGAACACAGCAAAGGUUGUUAUUCCCCUAGAGUUACGCUACACAGCCAAGGUCAAGGGAUUUUGCAGACAUAACUAAAAUCCAUAGCCGCUUGACUUUUGGGAAAUGAGUAGGGAUUACCCUGAAUGGAGCUGAUAUUAUCAGGUAAGCGCUUUCUGAGUCUGUCUGAGAAGUCAGGGUCUCUCUGAAGACUUCGUUGUUUGUGUUACAAUGUAGAUAAGGAAUACACUAGGGAUUCAAAAGUCCAGCUAACCUGAAUGUCCCUGGGCUGGAAAAUGAGGUUUUCAUCUGGUAAGCAUUAUUUGUUAUACAGAAUUCUGAAAUGAGACAAAAAGCUGAUUGACUGUAUGUCCUUCUGAUGUCAUUAUUAAUCGGCCCAAUUCAAGGUUCAGUUGUAUGGGACUGUGAACCACUGUUUGGCUUUAUUAUUUGAGUAUAUUCUAGAUUCUGUCAACAUGUAGAUUUUUUCCUCCAAUUAUGCAUCCAUCUCAUAGAAAAAAUAAUCCCAAAGGUCAUAGUUCAUCACACUGUUGUAUGUUUGUCAGUUUUGGUAACUGACUUAGAAAUUCUAUCCUGAGAUUCUGUCAUUAAAUUAUGAAUAAACACCCAGUUACUUGCAUGAUCUUAGAACCAGCCUGACAAUAAUGAAUGAUUCCUUUAUUAACUAAUUAAAAAAU
ensembl:lncRNA